GACGAACGCUGGCGGCGUGCUUAACACAUGCAAGUCGAACGGAAAGGCCCUGCGCUUGUGGGGCUCUUGAUAGGCGAACGGGUGUGUAACACGUGAGUAUACCGUCCUUGACUUUGGGAGAACAUCAGGAAAAUGGGGCUAAUAUCGGAUAGGAGAUUCUGCUGCAUGGGGGGGGUAGGAAAGUGUCGGCGGUUGUGGAUGGAAUCGCGGGUUAUCAGCUGGUUUGUGGGGUAGUGGCGGACCAAGGCUUUGAAGGGUAGCCGGCCUGAGAGGGUGACCAGCCACAUUAGGACUGAGAUACGGACCAGACUCCAACGGGAGGCAGCAGGGGAGAGUAUUGCGCAGUGGGCGGACGCCUGAUGCAGCAACGCCGCGUGCGGAAUGACGGCUUUCGGGUUAUAAACCGCUUUCGCCUGUAACGAAGCGUGAGUGACGGUAAUGGGUAAGGAAGCACCGGCUAACUACGUG
rnacentral:rRNA from 1 species